AGCGAACGCUGGCGGCAGGCCUAACACAUGCAAGUCGAGCGCCCAGCAAUGGGAGCGGCAGACGGGAUAGUAACACGUGGGAACGUACCUUUCAGUUCGGAACAACCCAGGGAAACUUGGGCUAAUACCGAAUACGUCCGUAAGGAGAAAGAUUUAUCGCUGAAAGAUCGGCCCGCGUCUGAUUAGCUAGUUGGUGAGGUAAUGGCUCACCAAGGCGACGAUCAGUAGCUGGUCNGAGAGGAUGAUCAGCAUCACUGGGACUGAGACACGGCCCAGACUCCUACGGGAGGCAGCAGUGGGGAAUAUUGGACAAUGGGCGCAAGCCUGAUCCAGCCAUGCCGCGUGGAUGAUGAAGGCCUUAGGGUUGUAAAGUCCUUUCGGGCGGGGAAGAUAAUGACGGUACCCG
rnacentral:rRNA from 1 species